rnacentral:rRNA from 1 species
CCUGGCGGUAGGCUUAACACAUGCAAGUCGUGCGAGAAAGUAUCUUCGGAUAUGAGUAGAGCGGCGGACGGGUGAGUAACGCGUAGGAAUCUACCUAGUAGAAGGGGAUAGCCCGGGGAAACUCGGAUUAAUACCGUAUACCUCCUUCGGGAGAAAGAAGGCCUCUCAUUGAAGCUUUCGCUACUAGAUGAGCCUGCGUAAGAUUAGCUUGUUGGUGAGGUAAAGGCUCACCAAGGCGACGAUCUUUAGCGGGUCUGAGAGGACGAUCCGC